rnacentral:lncRNA from 1 species
AGAGAAUCCAUAGCCAUAAUCAUACCAAAAACUGUCCAUCAAUGCACUACGGGCCAAUGAGGACUUUUUCCACAUCAUUUGUAACAUUACGGUUAUGAUUACACUGAAUAAUCCCUGGUCAUAAUCAUACCAAGUCCAUCUAUGCACUACAGGCCACAGAUGACUUUCAAAAAAAUAUAAACAUGAGGAUGAUGACAAUGAUAUAAGAAUUCAAUAAAACAAGUUC